rnacentral:rRNA from 1 species
AGGCACGGCCCAGACUCCUACAGGAGGCAGCAGUAGGGAAUCUUCCGCAAUGGACGAAAGUCUGACGGAGCACCGCCGUCGUGAGUGAUGAAGGUUUUCGGAUCGUAAAACUCUGUUGUUAGGGAAGAACAAGUACGAGAGUAACUGCUCGUACCUUGACGGUACCUAACCCGAAAGCCACGGCUAAAUACGUGCCAGCAGCCGCGGUAAUACGUAGGUGGCAAGCGUUGUCCGGAAUUAUUGGGCGUAAAGCGCGCGCAGGCGGUCUCUUAAGUAUGAUGUGAAAGCCCACGGCUCAACAGUGGAGGGUCAUUGGAAACUGGGGGACUUGAGUGCAGGAGAGAAGAGUGGAAUUCCACGUGUUGCGGUGAAAUGCGUAGAGAUGUGGAGGAACACCUGUGGCGAAGGCGACUAUUUGGCCUGUAUCUGACUCUGAGGCGCGAAAGCGUGGGGAGCAAACAAGAUUAGAUACCCUGGUAGUUCACGCCGUAAAC